GACGAACGCUGGCGGCGUGCUUAACACAUGCAAGUCGAACGGAAAGGCCUCUUUCGGGGGGUACUCGAGUGGCGAACGGGUGAGUAACACGUGAGUAACCUGCCCUUGACUUUGGGAUAACUUCAGGAAACUGGGGCUAAUACCGGAUAGGAGCUCCUGCUGCAUGGUGGGGGUUGGAAAGUUUCGGCGGUUGGGGAUGGACUCUCGGCUUAUCAGCUUGUUGGGGGGGUAGUGGCUUACCAAGGCUUUGACGGGUAGCCGGCCUGAGAGGGUGACCGGCCACAUUGGGACUGAGAUACGGCCCAGACUCCUACGGGAGGCAGCAGUGGGGAAUAUUGCACAAUGGGUGGAAGCCUGAUGCAGCAACGCCGUGUGCGGGAUGACGGCCUUCGGGUUGUAAACCGCUUUCGCUCAUGACGAAGCUUUGUGUGACGGUAGUGGGUAAAGAAGCACCGGCUAACUACGUG
rnacentral:rRNA from 1 species